rnacentral:rRNA from 1 species
GGUCAAGUGACCAAGUGCGUAUGGUGGAUGCCUUGGCGAUCACAGGCGAUGAAGGACGUGGUAGCCUGCGUUAAGCUUCGGGGAGCUGGCAAACAAGCUUUGAUCCGGAGAUGUCCGAAUGGGGAAACCCACCCGCAAGGGUAUCCGCAUCUGAAUACAUAGGAUGCGUGAAGCGAACGUAGUGAACUGAAACAUCUCAGUAGCUACAGGAAAAGAAAUCAACCGAGAUUCCCAAAGUAGUGGCGAGCGAAAUGGGAUCAGCCUGCACGUGAUAAGCGAUGUGUUAAUAGAACGGUCUGGAAAGUCCGGCCAUAGCGGGUGAUAGCCCCGUAUAUGAAAACCCAUUGCUGGUACUAAGCGUGCGAUAAGUAGGGCGGGACACGUGAAAUCCUGUCUGAAGAUGGGGGGACCAUCCUCCAAGGCUAAAUACUCGUGAUCGACCGAUAGUGAACCAGUACCGUGAGGGAAAGGCGAAAAGAACCCCGGGAGGGGAGUGAAAUAGAUCCUGAAACCGUACGCAUACAAACAGUCGGAGCCCGCAAGGGUGACGGCGUACCUUUUGUAUAAUGGGUCAGCGACUUACGUUCAGUUGCGAGCUUAACCGAAUAGGGAAGGCGUAGCGAAAGCGAGUCCGAAUAGGGCGUUUAGUAGCUGGGCGUAGACCCGAAACCGGAUGAUCUAUCCAUGGCCAGGAUGAAGGUGAGGUAACACUCACUGGAGGUCCGAACCCACUAGUGUUGAAAAACUAGGGGAUGAGCUGUGGAUAGGGGUGAAAGGCUAAACAAAUCCGGAGAUAGCUGGUUCUCCCCGAAAACUAUUUAGGUAGUGCCUCGUGUAUCACUGCGGGGGGUAGAGCACUGUUUUGGCUAGGGGGUCAUGGCGACUUACCAAACCAAGGCAAACUCCGAAUACCCGCAAGUGUGAGCACGGGAGACAGAGCACCGGGUGCUAACGUCCGGACUCAAGAGGGAAACAACCCAGACCGCCAGCUAAGGUCCCUAAGUGUGAUUAAGUGGUAAACGAAGUGGGAAGGCUAAAACAGUCAGGAUGUUGGCUUAGAAGCAGCCACCAUUUAAAGAAAGCGUAAUAGCUCACUGAUCGAGUCGUCCUGCGCGGAAGAUGUAACGGGGCUAAAUCACACACCGAAGCUGCGGAUCUCGUAAGAGAUGGUAGGGGAGCGUUCUGUAAGCCUGCGAAGGUCACUGGUAACGGUGGCUGGAGGUAUCAGAAGUGCGAAUGCUGACAUGAGUAGCGAUAAACAGGGUGAAAGGCCCUGUCGCCGUAAGCGCAAGGUUUCCUACGCAACGUUCAUCGGCGUAGGGUGAGUCGGCCCCUAAGGCGAGGCAGAGAUGCGUAGCUGAUGGGAAGCAGGUCAAUAUUCCUGCACCUAAGUCCAGUGCGAUGGGGGGACGGAUCGUGGAAGGUCAGCCGGGUGUUGGAUGUCCCGGUUUUCGAGCGUAGGUGGCUGUUAGGCAAAUCCGGCAGCUAAACCAAGGCAAAGAGACGAGCGAGCUUGCUUGCGAAGUGAUCGGAAGGGGUCCCAAGAAAAGCCUCUAAGCUUCAGCUGGACUAGACCGUACCGCAAACCGACACAGGUGCGCGAGAUGAGUAUUCUAAGGCGCUUGAGAGAAGUCAGGAGAAGGAACUCGGCAAAUUGGUACCGUAACUUCGGGAUAAGGUACGCCCUUGUAGCUUGACCAUGUACAGUGGAAGGGCGAAGGGGUUGCAAUAAACUGGUGGCUGCGACUGUUUAAUAAAAACACAGCACUCUGCAAACACGAAAGUGGACGUAUAGGGUGUGACGCCUGCCCGGUGCCGGAAGGUUAAAUGAUGGGGUGCAAGCUCUUGAUUGAAGCCCCGGUAAACGGCGGCCGUAACUAUAACGGUCCUAAGGUAGCGAAAUUCCUUGUCGGGUAAGUUCCGACCUGCACGAAUGGCGUAACGAUGGCCACACUGUCUCCUCCUGAUACUCAGCGAAGUUGAAAUGUUUGUGAUGAUGCAAUCUCCCCGCGGCUAGACGGAAAGACCCCAUGAACCUUUACUGUAGCUUUGCAUUGGACUUUGAACCGAUCUGUGUAGGAUAGGUGGGAGGCUUUGAAGCCGGGACGCUAGUUCUGGUGGAGCCGACGUUGAAAUACCACCCUGGUUUGUUUGAGGUUCUAACCUUGGCCCGUGAUCCGGGUCGGGGACAGUGCAUGGUAGGCAGUUUGACUGGGGCGGUCUCCUCCCAAAGUGUAACGGAGGAGUUCGAUGGUACGCUUGGCACGGUCGGACAUCGUGCCUAAAGUGCAAUGGCAAAAGCGUGCUUGACUGCGAGACCGACAAGUCGAGCAGGUGCGAAAGCAGGACAUAGUGAUCCGGUGGUUCUGUAUGGAAGGGCCAUCGCUCAACGGAUAAAAGGUACUCUGGGGAUAACAGGCUGAUACCGCCCAAGAGUUCAUAUCGACGGCGGUGUUUGGCACCUCGAUGUCGGCUCAUCUCAUCCUGGGGCUGUAGCCGGUCCCAAGGGUAUGGCUGUUCGCCAUUUAAAGAGGUACGUGAGCUGGGUUUAAAACGUCGUGAGACAGUUUGGUCCCUAUCUGCCGUGGGCGUUGGAAGUUUGAAGGGGGCUGCUCCUAGUACGAGAGGACCGGAGUGGACGCACCUCUGGUGUAUCGGUUGUCACGCCAGUGGCAUUGCCGAGUAGCUAUGUGCGGAAGAGAUAACCGCUGAAAGCAUCUAAGCGGGAAACUCGCCUUAAGAUUAGACUUCCCUGGAGACUCGAUCUCCCUAAAGGGUCGUUCAAGACUAGGACGUUGAUAGGCUGGGUGUGGAAGCGCAGUAAUGCGUUAAGCUAACCAGUACUAAUUGCCCGUGAGGCUUGACCCU